rnacentral:lncRNA from 1 species
GAGAAGGCUUGAGCCAGCUCAAGUGCUGAAGCUACUUUCCCAUAACGCAUGCCGCCAGUGUUUGGGGAGGCAGGUUUUGGCUGCUCAGCAGGCUUGCGCCAAGUCUCUGGUGAAGGUGGUCGCUCCUGCUGCUGCUGUUUAUCAGUUUCUCUGUUCUUCCUUCGAUUAUCACGGAAAUUCCUCCUUUGCAUCUCUGGAUCUGCCCUGUUAUCCUUCCGCUCCCCUUCCUUGCCUAUCCUUCGAUCAAAAGGUGGAUUAUCCACCUUUCCAGUCUGAUGCACAGGAACAGGAGGUCCUUGAACCCGUUCCGUCCUUGAAAAAUUUUCGUCAGUCCUUCCAACAACAAAGAGUAACGUUAUGCAUGAACAGUUAUUUUCACUGAAAGCUUCUUUUCCCUUACCAUUUUUGUUCUCUUUUGUUGGGUGGGGGGAGUGAGGGUUAGAGGGGAAGGAGAGAGAGUUGCAAUAUAUUCAAAAACAGCGUAGAAUACCUUUCAGAAUGUUGGACAAGAUCAUUGUUGUUAACUGUGGUAUUGUCAACCCCUCGUUCCUUCAGAACCUGAGGAAAGCACAAAUCUUAUCAUCUAAUGGGGAAGAUGAGACCACAAAGAACACGCCAUAAAAUAGGGGUAUAUCGGUAAAACUAUUUAUUUGAAAGCCAAUAAAGAAGUACAGGACACUUAACUAAUUAAGUCAUUUAUUGACUGCAUAGUCUAGUUGAGAAACAACAAAAGAAGGAAUACUCUCAUUAUUCAAUAACCGCACAGAGCCAUCAAAAUGACACAAAGCUGACACCCAAAAACUAAAGAUAUAACUCACCUGCUCCCGUGGGCGAGCACCACCAAACAAAGCAAUCCUGCACAAGGCACAAACAUUUACCUCCUAUCAGCAAGGUAAGUAGCAUUAAAAAUUCCCCAAUGGUAGUCAUAAGCAAAAAAAAAAAAUCAAAUUUACACGUCAGAAAUAGACUAUUCCACUCCAGGCAAAUACAGAAAAAAAAAUCCCCCAAUGGUAAUAAUAAGCAAAAAAUUUCAAAUUUACACGUCAGAAAUAGACUCCCACUCCAGGAAAAUACAGAAAUAUGGAAACACAAGUGUUCUGAUCAACCGAAUUCUGUUAUUACACGAGCUCAUUUUUGUGGAUUUGAUGGUUACAACUUACAAAUUCAAGAUUCAAAUGUUAACUUACAGAAGUAAACCCAUUGGCUAAGCAAACAAAAACAAAAUUUACAGCCUGUUCACAUCUCAAUAUUACAAGAAGUUCCACAGAAAAACACAAUGUUUGGCUCAUGGAUUAAGUCUGUUCUCAAUGAGAAGUCAUGAGGCUGGGAUUCAUAAAGAACACAAUGAAAAAUAGCGAUCCAAAAUGGAAAAAGUAGCCUAAGACUAAGAGUUAAGACCCAACUUCUUCAUCAAAUUCCAAACAUUUUUCUCAAGUACACUCUUUUCUUUUAGUCGAGCCAAUAUUUUCCAACUUGAUAGCACCAAAUACUUUGUCACGGUUGACACUAAAGUAUACUCUUUCCUUUUAGUCGGUGUUAUUCUUCUACAAUUCUCCAACUUCAUAGCCCCAACAUGUGUUUGUUGCCUAGACUGGUACUUUCAUGUUUCAGAAUAUGACUAACCAACAUGCUGACUAACAAUUACAAUCAACUUGAUUGAAUUUUGCAAAUUUUCUACUGUAGUACCUCAACAUUACAUAAGCGUGUGAGGCGUUCAAGAAUUUGUCUUCUUUUUUGCUUAAGGCUAAGAUCAUUUUUAUUGCCUGUAUUCUCCAACUUGAUAGCCCCAAUUAUGCAUUGUUGGCCAGACUAGAUCACUGAUAUUUAAACCAAGUGACAAACAUAAUUUGAAAAAUUAACCUUCUAUAAAACUCAAGGACACAGUUGGAACAAAUCUAGAAAAAUCAAUCCUUUUAUCUUAUACCAAGAAGGUAGCAUUAUGUAAGAUCCAAAUGGAGUUAAGAUUUCACAAUAACAAAACAGAAAAUGACCAGAAGGUCUACAUGAGAAAAUUUGCAUAUUUUCACUUGAAUCAAUAGGCAUAAUAAACUAUCAUGCCAUUAGGCAAAUUUACAUUUUCCAGACAAGAUGUGGUAUUCAUACAUCAAUGCAAUUGAGAAAUGCUCAUAUAAAUGAAGAAAAAUUGAAUGGGAAUGGAGGAAGUGCUCUUGAAACAAACCAACAAUGAAUGAACUUAUUAUGGAAACCACGAAUAAACAAACAAAGUACUUAAUUGGAAUGAUUAGCCUUUAGUUAGCCCCUCACGGAGCACUUAGUGAUAUGAUUGAGGAGUUCCUCCUCCAUCUUAUGAAAAGUUAGGGUAUGUGCUUUGUUGAGAGUAUUUCAGGGGAGAGAAAUAAUAGAAUCUUUAAAAGGUUAUAGAGGGGCUAUUUUGAUGUUUGGUCAGUUAUAAAUUUUAAAUUCUCUUUAGAAGUCAGUGAGUUCCUUUUGUAAUUAAUCAUUAGUUCUCAUUUUGUUAAAUUGGACGCCCUUCCUCUAGGGUGCUCCCUUUUGUUGGCUACAAAAGACUACAAAACUUGAGCAAAUGCAACUAAACAAAUAAGUUCCUAUUAUAUCAUUAAUAUACAUCUUCAAAAUGAAUAGGAAAGCAGAAACAGAAAAGAAAAUAAGGGAUUAUUGUCAAAAAUUGCAGUUCAAGUUACAAACCUGUCUCUCCCAGCAUUUCCUUCCGAUUGUUCAAUGAGUUGAGACCGAGGCUUCAGAUUCAAUUUUGGACGCUCAAUUCCAUCCUUCCCACUCUCAGAACCAGCUGAACUAGGUUUCACAUAAUUUGAAUUUCCAUACAUUUCAUUCACAUUGUCAGGAGAAACAGCAUCGGGAAUUAUCUGGCAUUCAAAUAUUCAACAGUAUAACAAGGAUCAGUAAUUAAUUGUAAAAUCUAAAGGAAGGUGUACACAAUCACAAAUGAAUUGUUCAUACCUGGGUAUGAUCAACUGUAUUUGGUUCUGAACCAGCCAAUGGCUUUGUUCUUGGAAGUAAUUUCAACUUUGGGCGUUCUGAUACUAAUGAACUCACAGGAGGAUGCAAAUCAGAUCCACGUCCACCAGACAUUUGAUUAGGAUCAGAGUGUUGGACUACAGCAGCAUCCACUUUAGAAGAUCUCUCUUUUACAGGAUGAUACUUAGGGACUACGAGCCUGUCAUGCUCUGAUAAAUCUUGUCUAUGUCCCUCAGUUCCAUCAUCUACGCUAAUUUCUCUUUCUGCAUGCCUAGCUAAUGAAGCAUCACGAUGUUCCCUACUAUACAAUCCAUCCACCCUGUCAAAGGAAUUACCAUAACCCUUUGGCUGAGCUUUAACAUCUAGUUCGGUAGAUGCGGCAACAACAACAUCAGUUUGAUAAUGAAGAGACUGUUUUGACUGCCACCUCCCUGAAGACACCUUUUCAAGAGCACUAGCAUGAGCAAGCUUUGAGACAGCACUCGGUCCAUCCCAAGUAGAAUGUGAAUUUUCACUAAGCCCCGAAGCCACCUCCUUCCUUGCUUGCCAAGCAUUUGGAUGAGCCCCAGAAAAAGCCAUCCCACU